GACGUAGGGCGCGAGCGUUGUCCGGAUUUAUUGGGCGUAAAGAGCUCGUAGGCGGCUUGUCGCGUCGUUCGUGAAAACCCGGGGCUCAACUCCGGGCUUGCGGGCGAUACGGGCAGGCUAGAGUUCGGUAGGGGAGACUGGAAUUCCUGGUGUAGCGGUGAAAUGCGCAGAUAUCAGGAGGAACACCGGUGGCGAAGGCGGGUCUCUGGGCCGAUACUGACGCUGAGGAGCGAAAGCGUGGGGAGCGAACAGG
rnacentral:rRNA from 1 species